AAAUUGAAGAGUUUGAUCAUGGCUCAGAUUGAACGCUGGCGGCAGGCCUAACACAUGCAAGUCGAGCGGUAGCACAGAGGAGCUUGCUCUUUGGGUGACGAGCGGCGGACGGGUGAGUAAUGUCUGGGAAACUGCCUGAUGGAGGGGGAUAACUACUGGAAACGGUAGCUAAUACCGCAUAACCUCGCAAGAGCAAAGAGGGGGACCUUCGGGCCUCUCGCCAUCAGAUGUGCCCAGAUGGGAUUAGCUAGUAGGUGAGGUAAUGGCUCACCUAGGCGACGAUCCCUAGCUGGUCUGAGAGGAUGACCAGCCACACUGGAACUGAGACACGGUCCAGACUCCUACGGGAGGCAGCAGUGGGGAAUAUUGCACAAUGGGCGCAAGCCUGAUGCAGCCAUGCCGCGUGUGUGAAGAAGGCCUUCGGGUUGUAAAGCACUUUCAGCGGGGAGGAAGGCGGUAAGGUUAAUAACCUUGUCGAUUGACGUUACCCGCAGAAGAAGCACCGGCUAACUCCGUGCCAGCAGCCGCGGUAAUACGGAGGGUGCAAGCGUUAAUCGGAAUGACUGGGCGUAAAGCGCACGCAGGCGGUCUGUUAAGUUGGAUGUGAAAUCCCCGGGCUUAACCUGGGAACUGCAUUCAAAACUGACAGGCUAGAGUCUUGUAGAGGGGGGUAGAAUUCCAGGUGUAGCGGUGAAAUGCGUAGAGAUCUGGAGGAAUACCGGUGGCGAAGGCGGCCCCUGGACAAAGACUGACGCUCAGGUGCGAAAGCGUGGGGAGCAAACAGGAUUAGAUACCCUGGUAGUCCACGCUGUAAACGAUGUCGAUUUGGAGGUUGUGCCCUUGAGGCGUGGCUUCCGGAGCUAACGCGUUAAAUCGACCGCCUGGGGAGUACGGCCGCAAGGUUAAAACUCAAAUGAAUUGACGGGGCCCGCACAAGCGGUGGAGCAUGUGGUUUAAUUCGAUGCAACGCGAAGAACCUUACCUACUCUUGACAUCCAGAGAACUUAGCAGAGAUGCUUUGGUGCCUUCGGGAACUCUGAGACAGGUGCUGCAUGGCUGUCGUCAGCUCGUGUUGUGAAAUGUUGGGUUAAGUCCCGCAACGAGCGCAACCCUUAUCCUUUGUUGCCAGCGAUUCGGUCGGGAACUCAAAGGAGACUGCCGGUGAUAAACCGGAGGAAGGUGGGGAUGACGUCAAGUCAUCAUGGCCCUUACGAGUAGGGCUACACACGUGCUACAAUGGCGUAUACAAAGAGAAGCGACCUCGCGAGAGCAAGCGGACCUCAUAAAGUACGUCGUAGUCCGGAUUGGAGUCUGCAACUCGACUCCAUGAAGUCGGAAUCGCUAGUAAUCGUAGAUCAGAAUGCUACGGUGAAUACGUUCCCGGGCCUUGUACACACCGCCCGUCACACCAUGGGAGUGGGUUGCAAAAGAAGUAGGUAGCUUAACCUUCGGGAGGGCGCUUACCACUUUGUGAUUCAUGACUGGGGUGAAGUCGUAACAAGGUAACCGUAGGGGAACCUGCGGUUGGAUCACCUCCUUA
rnacentral:rRNA from 1 species